AAGACCUUGCGCUUUUGGAGCGGCCGAUGUCUGAUUAGCUAGUUGGUGGGGUAAUGGCCUACCAAAGCUUCGAUCAGUAGCUGGUCUGAGAGGACGGCCAGCCACACUGGGACUGAGACACGGCCCAGACUCCUACGGGAGGCAGCAGUGGGGAAUUUUGGACAAUGGGCGCAAGCCUGAUCCAGCCAUGCCGCGUGAGUGAAGAAGGCCUUCGGGUUGUAAAGCUCUUUCAGCCGGGAAGAAAAGGCUGCGACUAAUAAUCGCAGUUCAUGACGGUACCGGAAGAAGAAGCACCGGCUAACUACGUGCCAGCAGCCGCGGUAAUACGUAGGGUGCGAGCGUUAAUCGGAAUUACUGGGCGUAAAGGGUGCGCAGGCGGUUUUGUAAGUCAGAUGUGAAAUCCCCGGGCUUAACCUGGGAACU
rnacentral:rRNA from 1 species